AGCUUUUAUGUCCUGCAUCUCAAGUGCUGUUCAGAAAGCUCCGUGUGUUUAAGCCGUAUAUAGCAGCUGAGCUGGAGAGAAAAAGGGAAAGCUGGGACUGUUCUUUCACCUCUCAGUAAGAUCACACAUAGCAAUGGCCACACUGAAUCAGAUGAGAAAGAGUAAAGGCUUGUUUAGCCUAGAGAUGAGAAAGCAAAGGAAACCCAUCUGCAGCUUUUGACAACCUAACGGGAAAUCUAUACAGAAGAUAAAGCCAAACCUUUCUUGCAACUGCCCAGCAAAAGGACAUGAGACAAAGGGCACAGUUGCUUUCACUAAAAAGCAGGUGAAUUCCUUUUGUGAAAUCAAGGCCAGUGCCAAACCAGAGACCGUUUCGUAACGCCGUAACCUGAACCUGAACGCCACAACCCUGAGGGGACGGCGCACAGGUUCAGAGAGACGCUCAGGA